rnacentral:lncRNA from 1 species
GAAGAGUGUGUGGGCAGCCAAAAGUUUGUUGUAAAACGGGAUGUGUUGGAGGGUAGGGACCGGAGAAAAAAUCUCAAUUCUGGAUUAUGCGUGGCUCCCAAGUACUGCAGGUUAUAAGGUCGGAUCAAGUAUUAGUAAUAAUGGAGGUAGCAGAGUUUCGGACUUGAUUAAUGAGCACACAAGGAGAUGGAAAGUAGAGUUAAUAAAUUCUACCUUUUCGAGAGAGGAUGCACACAGAAUUGUAAAAAUCCCCUUAGCUGUUGAAGCCCAUGACGACUUUAUGGUAUGGAAAGGGGAGCCAUUUGGUGAACUUUCUGUAAGAAGUGACUACAAACUAUUACAUGAUGCUAAUUCUACUCCUAAUUUAAUACAGACAGAGGUUACAAAAUUUUACAAAAAAACUUUCAAAUGUUAUAUUCCAGCAAAAAUCAAGAUCCUAGUCUGGAAGAUUUCUUGGAAUUUUAUCCCCAAUCUUGCGAAUCUUUGCCUUAUUGACGACGGUGUUUGCUUGCCCCAGUUGUAGAGGGGCCAUUGAGAAUGUAAAUCAUAUUUUCCAACUAUGCCUUGUAACAAUAGAAGUUUGGGUAAGCCUAGGGAAGGGGUGGUUAAUGGCAGAGCCAAAUAUGGAGUUUUAGGAGUGGCUUACCUGGGUAUUCAAUAGAUGCAGUAGUUUACAGCGUCCUGUCUUCUGUUGCUCCUUGUGGGUGAUCUGGACAGACAGAAACAAGGGGCUACAUGAGGAGAAGAGAAAUACAGGGCCAGAUAUUGAUGCAUGGAUAAUAAGGCACACAAAAGAACUAGAGGAGAGUGAGAUUAAAGAUCUUACAAAGUAAAUCAUAGCUAUAGAUUGGUGUCCACCGAGUGAGUCGGUUAUUAAACUUAAUUUUGACGCAGCUUUUGACGAGGUACAGGCUAAAGCGAUCUCAGGGGUGGUGGCUAGGAAUGCGUCGGGGGAGGUUCUCGACUAAAAUACUGUGACUCACGAACGGGUUGCCUCGCCGUUUGCAGCACAAAGUCUCGCGUGUAUCCAAGCAGUGUCGAUUGGAAAACAAAGGGGUUUUUCAUCAGUUAUAAUCGAAGGAGAUUCGGUCUCAGUAAUUAAAAAGUGUAAAAUCAGAUUUAGAAGACAAAUCGGUGAUUGGGGGCCUUGAUAAGAGAUAUCCAGAUGCAAAAAAGAUUCUUUCAACAAAUUCUAUUCAGCC